rnacentral:rRNA from 1 species
AUUGAACGCUGGCGGCAGGCCUAACACAUGCAAGUCGAACGAGUGGCGGACGGGUGCGUAAUGUCUGGGAAACUGCCUGCUUUAGGGGGAUAACUACUGGAAACUGUCACUAAUACCGCAUAUCAUCGGAUGUGCCCAGAUGGGAUAAGCUAGUAGGUGGGGUAAAGGCUCACCUAGGCGACGAUCGCUAGCUUGUCUGAGAGGAUGACCAGCCAAACUGGAACUGGAACACGGUCAAGACUACUACGGGAGGCAGCAGUGGGGAAGAUUGCACAAUGGGCGAAAGCCUGAUGCAGCCAUGCCGCGUGUAUGAAGAAGGCCUUCGGGUUGUAAAGUACUUUCAGCGGGGAGGCGUUACCCGCAGAAGAAGCACCGGCUAACUCCGUGCCAGCAGCCGCGGUAAUUC